UUUCCUUUUUUUUUUUUUUAAAUUAGUUUUUACUUUUGAAAUAUUGUGAUUUCUAUCAAAUCAUUAAAAUUGAUAAAGACUUGUAAUACAUGUGAUUUUUGUAUUAUUUUCUUUAAAAAUUGAUUAGAAAAAGUUGUAUGUGAUUUCGCUAGUUGCUCAUCGAAAUGUAGGCAGAUUUGUGUUUGUUUUAAGGUUAGGAAUUGGUUUUGAUUGUGUUAUAUGAUUUCAGAAUGUUUUGUAAUUGGAUAAAUGGUCCUCGUGGUGAUACGGUAUUCGGAAGAUUGCCUAAAAAAAUUCGGAUUUUAAAACCUUGUGGUGUAGUUAACCCAAAUCAAAACUUAUGUUAGUUUCUCUGCAAAGUUGUUUUUUGUUUUCGGAAAAAGUCAGAGAAAUAUAUAGUUUCAUAGAUAUGCAGCAAGCUCCAUUUGCCAAGGGAUCCGGCAGCUCUAAAUCUUCUUUGUGUCAUCACUUUUACAAGCUUGACUACUAUGGUAAUGAGCCCCAUAGCCUUGUUCUGGAUCAAUUAGCAACAUGUUUAAUCAUCACUUUUACAGCUUUCAAUCUUCUUUGCGUCGCCACUUCUAUAAUUAGCAACAGGUUUAGCUUCGUAGAACUGAUGCUUAUAUCCUGUAUCAAUUCUGAGCAGCUCUGCAUGCUUCCCUGAUUUUGCUAAUUACUUGAGAAGCAUGUCAUGUCCAAUUGUUCCCAAAACAUAUGAAAUUUUGGCUUGUGCAUCGAUGGUGUAAGACACUUCUUAAUUAUAAUCAAAUAAAAAUUAAUUAAUUAAACAAUAUCAUAGUUAAUUCUUCGGACCAAUGUCCUUGAGGCCUCUACUCCUUUCCCAUGGCAUACAUGACAAUCACCACAAGAUCCUUUUCCAUCAUUAAACCCGUCCUUGAUCUGGGUAAGUAGACUGUCAUCAGUGAGAAGCCUCAGAUCAUCCUUGGUGUUUACAUUUUCAGUCAAAAGACUCAAUGGUGGUGGCGGAGGAAGCUUGGUUGUUGAGUGUGGAGCCAUGGGUAAUGGGUUAAUGGAGAAUCAACUGAAAUUUUGUUUUUUGGCUUAAAUCCUAACGGAUUUUACCAAAAGCGUUUAAAUCCAUAUUUCUUUUUACCACGGGCGCUACUUUCCAACUACCACAUUACCACGAGGACCAUUUAUCCAAUUAGGCCAUCUUAUUAUGUCAGAAAUUAGCUGUGAAUGGACAGUGAUUUAUUUCUCUAUUGUUUCAGACCUCAGUGAUGGAUUCAUUGCUGUUGGGCAAGUCAGUAAAGCAUUACUUAUUUUACAACGAACUAUAUGAACCGAAUAAUAGGAUAUGGGGGCAUUCCGCCAUCCAUUUUUUGUUGCAUUGAACACUUCAAGGUUGCUAACAUCUUUGAAGCCUUCAUAGUAUUUAUUUGAUGCUAUCAAUUUUUAUAUAAUGCGGCUUUCCCACAUUUGAUCAAUGUUUUUUUUAUCCAAAAGGCAAAAAUAUUUGAUAAGCGUUUGGUUAUCCUGGAUGGUUAAUUUGAGUAGUUGGCAUAAACACACUACUCACCAGUGCGGUGUUUAGUUUUAGCAGUAGGAUUUGUGGUCAUUGAUCAAUGAUGUUUUUUUGUUGCUACUAUCGAGUUUCUUUUCUUACUUGCUAUGAUGUUGCCAGGAUGGUGCUAUCCACACACCUAUUUUUACCUCACACACCCCUCUCAAUGUCCAACAGUCAAAUUAGGUGAAUUGAAGAAGAUCAAUGGACCAAAAUUAACAAGGGUUCAUGGGAGGUAAAAAAGAGUGUUUGAUGUAGCUGUCAAGGUUCAUAAGAACAUACAGGAACGAGACAUAGAAGUUGGUAGAAAUCUUGGCAACCGGAUCCUGCGUUGGCUCAAUCGGAUGAAACCUGAAGUUGAAGAUUCGGGGUCCCUUGGACAAACCUCCUGCUGGUUCUAACUCUAGCACGAGUAUUACAAAGCAGGUGGAAUCUUCCCAGCUCAAAACUCUUGGAAGCACCAAGAUAACUAGAAAUCAGGAAUUUGACAGACAUGUUUUCAACAAUGACAAAUAUGUGGUCUAAACCGUUGCCUCCAAUUACAAUGAUGAUGAGAUCACGGAAACCUUCGGGGAAUAUGACCCACUAACGCCACUUAUGAAUGAACGCACCUCAAGCAUUAAGAUCGAACAACAGUACAGGGGGGUUUGGAGGAGUUAUACGAAAGGACAUAAUGCAGUGGAUGUUGCAAAAAUGAUGGAAACGAUGUACUUCCCCUUUGUGUUUUCGUAGAAGCCAAACAAUCUUGGGAUGGGAUUGAGGAGAAAAAGGUUUUGAGGAUGUGCGGUUCCUCUGAAGUUGAUCGGACUGUUGUCUCUUCAAAAUCUGCUUUCAGAUAAGUUUUUGGUCUUUCUUUUUUCUGAAACAAACUACAAGAUACUCUUUCUUUUGGUUGUUGUUCCUUGUUCUCUUUGUUUAUUUUUUGGGAUAGGUGGUAGCAUAGAGUGACAUGAUGAGGUGAUUUUGUAAUUAAAUAAAGGAGAAGUUAAUCAAUGAAUGUUGCUCUGUAAUAAGUUCUGACCAUAAUCAGCUCAGCUAGUUCUCAUUUUCUUGUUAUA